rnacentral:rRNA from 1 species
AGCAGUCGCCGCGGUAAUACAGAGGGUGCGAGCGUUAAUCGGAUUUACUGGGCGUAAAGCGUGCGUAGGCGGCUAAUUGAGUCGGAUGUGAAAUCCCCGAGCUUAACUUGGGAAUUGCAUUCGAUACUGGUUAGCUAGAGUGUGGGAGAGGAUGGUAGAAUUCCAUGUGUAGCGGUGAAAUGCGUAGAGAUCUGGAGGAAUACCGAUGGCGAAGGCAGCCAUCUGGCCUAACACUGACGCUGAGGUACGAAAGCAUGGGGAGCAAACAGGAUUAGAGACCCCCGUAGUCCCUGUCUCUUAUAC